rnacentral:Y_RNA from 1 species
GGCUGGUCCAAUGGUAGUGGGUUAUCAGGUAGUGGGUUAACGUUAGUGUCAUUAAAGUUGGUAUACAACCUCCCUCCCACUGCUAAAUGUGACUGGCUUUAA